ACAGAACGCAUCAGCUGUUGCUAGGCUUCCGGAACUCUGUGGUCCCUGUCAAGUGAGAUUUUUUUAAGACUCGUUUUUGGGCAGCUAACUUUAAAUCUGCUGCCCUUUUCUCCACUUCCGGUGUCAGAGCACAGAACUUGGCUUUUGUGGAGCAGUCCCUUUUUAGAUGUGCUCCGUGUUUUGAAGAAUUUGCUGCUCCACUCAGCACCUCAAAUAAAAUUGGGUCAAUGUUGCCAAGCCAGGGCUCAUCCCAGAGUGAUGUUGUAGGACCGUGCUGAGGUCCUCUGAUGUCUUGGAUGCUGCUGGGAGGGCAGCUGUGGCCAGACAGGAAUCAGCUCACAGUCACCAUCAGCCGGGAGCGCUGGUCCACGGAGGCCUUUAGCUACUGCAUUGUUUUCUGUCUUCAGCCUUCCUCGUAUCACCUCCACGAUUUUGCAAAGUCUAUAUCAUAUUAUAGAUUAUUCAUAUUCUAUUCAUAUUAUUACAUAUGACUUGCUCUGUCCAUUUUAUUUUAAAAGGGAAGAUGUUUAUCAGUACUGUGAGUGGAAAACCACUGUCACUAUAAACACAAGGUCACUGUAAAAGUAAACGGGUGACUAUUGCACUGUUCUUGUCAGUUGAUGUGGCACUGACUUCAUGGCAUGCACCGCUCUGACUCCUGGGCUGCCAUAUGCUGGACCCCACCUGCCUGCCCAACAUGCUGUCGGAAACACAGUCUCUCUGCCCUGGCUGCUGUCUGGCAUCUCCACCUCUCCGCUGCUCCUCAUGCUGACAUCAUGCAGUGGACGCCUGCCAGAUUCAUCCCACCAGACUUCAAUCCUGCUCCUCAUGAAGCUUAUCCUUCAGAAUCCAAAUUUUUCCAUGAUUUCAAUUUGCAAGGCUUGGCUGCUUUCAACUUCCCAGUGAGUCCAGGCACUGGGUGGCUGAGGGGCAGAGAAGGGUCAGGUCCUGGGAGAGUGUGGAGGGGCCCAAAUACCCUCAGUGGGCGUGGCUCUGGGUCCUUAGGCCUCCGGCUGCCUGGAGCAGGACACUGUGCCAACCAGCCUGUCCUGAUGCUCCCUGGAACUGCAACCGCAUUUUUUCACUUGUAUUUGCAGAGCCCAUGCCCUCUCCUAAGGAGGUAGGUGAAGGUCUUUUAGGUGUGUAUUUCUCCCCACUGUGGGUGUUGUGUUUACUAGUAUUUUAUUUAACUUUGCCAAGAGUAUAUGUUCACAGUAAAAAAUUCAGAUUGCAACAAAUAGAAGGUAAAAAUCAUUCUUGAGUCAAAGUCACCAUGUAGAGAUGAAAACUCCUUAAACACAUGACUGUUAGGGUGACAGUGAACUUCUUUGUGAAAUCAUAAGGGAAGCCUGUUGGCAGGGUUCCCCUCCUGAGCUUGAGGGCCUGGACCACAGGUCGGGGUGGUCCCAGCAGCCACAGGCCUGGUCUUCUCACAUCAGGGAUUGAGUGGCUCGGCGGGUGGGCCCAGUAGUUAACAUGUCGGACUUUUACCAACAUUUUGUUGAGCCUCCUGAGCUCAUCCUUUAUUUUCUCCCAGCUGCUGGCGGCACACACUGUGAGCCAUGGUUAGAGUCGGGGCCAGCAGACCGGGGCCUCCAGCUCAGGCUGCCGCCAGGGCCUCCCCUUAGACCCCGAUCUGUGAGGCACACAGCCCAGCUCUUGUCCCUGGGCUCCCUGGGCCCUGCUGCCUCUGCUUCUAGGCCUCACUGUGAUCGCCCCACCUUGGCAUGGGAUUUUGCAGCUCCAUUUCUCACUGCCCUUCUCUGCCCCAGGCCCUGGGACCUCAUACCGCAGGGAGUGGCUCCACCCAGAGGCAGCCUUGAGCACAUGGAUGUCGCCGCUAACCAUCAGAGCUGGGCUCCGGGGCCUGUUCAUCCGCAGCCAUCACUUCAGUUCCUUCCAGCUCCACCUCCACGUCCAUGUCCAGGCACCCAGGCUGCACCCACGGUGAGUCACGGGUCCCUCUAGAACUAAGUGGGUGAGCAUCUCAGCCAGAGGUCCUUCCCAAAGACCCCGGUUCACAGGGGCAAGAGGCGCCGCUCAGCCUGAGAGGUGGUCAGCAGGUGGGUGAAGCUGUGGACAGGUUUGGUGUCCCACAGACUCAGGUUCAGAGCUCAGCUCCGCCUACAGCUGUGCGGCUUUGGGAGGGUAACUCUGCCAUCUGGAGACCUGGGCCUGAGACCUGGAACCCACACCACUGGUCAGAGAUUGGUGGCACCGAGUGGCUCCUGAAUAGAGAUGAAUGAACAAGAGUUUGGGCUAAAAUCAGGCAACAUUGGAGAUGUAUUCUCCAAGGAGGAGACUUGACAGGGUCCCUGCACUGGAGGCUGGUCCAUGGAGUGGAGGGCAGGGGUCCUAGAUGGAAAAACAAGGGAUUCAGAGGGAUGGACAGGCUGGAUGUCUCCGGAUGCCAGUAGCCAUGCGUGCUCACACCUUAGAUGGGACAUUACAUCCUCUUCAAGGCAUCUGAUUAGCAGGAGACAUUCCCAGCAGAGCAGUCGGGUCACAUCUUGCCAGGGGGAGCCAUGAGAGGUCAGGGUCCCCGGGCACCAGAGGAGACAAACCAAUGUGAGAGCAACAGAGCCAGCGGGCAUUGGGCAGAGACAAAAGCUUUCAAAUGCCCCUCAUGACCUCAGAGUGAGCCACUCUGCCCAGUGAAAUCCGAGCAGGAUGCUAUGAAAAGGAGCAUCUGGGGAAGAGCACUCAGAAAUUUAAAAGAUGCAACAGAAAGGGAGAAAUAAAGCUGAACACUUAAAAAGACAUUCUGCUUCUAUGAAAUAUCUGAGGACAGCAGGAAGCUGAAAAGGACUGUCCUGGGUGUUAGAAGCUGACGAGAAGACACAGGGUUAUGAUUUUUCAUAAUCUUACCUCCCACAGGACCUGGCAGCUAUGGUUUGACAAGCCCAGCAAGACAGCCAGGGUUCUGCCCUCAAGGCUGCAUGGGGCAGCCUCAGGACCUGGCCCCUUGUUUUCAAAUCAGAAGCUCCCCUGGGAGAAGAUGAGGUGAGUGAGCAUAGGGCAGGAGGCAGUCUCUCUGUGCUCCUGGCCAGACUCUGAAACGGCAGCCACUCACUUUUGGGUGUCAGAGUCACGGUGCCCUGUGUGGCUGGGGCAGGCUGUCCCUUGUGGGCACUCAGCAGUCGGUCAGGUCUCCCAGGCUCGGCAGAGCAGGAGCCCUGCCUGGGCUCCAGUAGGAGCCAGGAGCACCACCUCCCCUGGGUCUGCCAGCAGCCUAUUUGGCUCCAGACCCACCCCUCCAGGCUAACCCUUGGGCUGUCUCAGCCUGGAUCCCACCCUGAGCCAGAGCCCAGGCCUAUUCAGAUGCCUGUGGAGCCUGCCGAGGGCCCCUCACACUGCACACCCAGCACUGCCCACGGCCAUUUCCCUGGCAGCCCAGUGCUCACACUCAGGUGGACCUAGAGCUGUCUGCAUAAUGGAGACCCUGGUGUCAGUUUGGAGGGGUCCAGGGCUGCUGUCAGAGAGCAGCUGGCAGGCCUGAGCACAGGGCAUCUUAGUCCUUCUCAGGGAAGAGCAGUGACCGGUGGCCCAUGGAUACUGGCCGUUGCUGGAGGAGCUGCUGGUGCAGGCUCAGUCUCUAGGGAGCCCACAUCCUCCCUCAGGUGGUGGUUCUUUCCUUUUCCUUCCUCCAGCCCCGGGAGAGCCCAGGCCCUGGGAGAGGGUUGCUCUCAGGGCCCUGCUUUCGGUGCAGCUGGUAGGAGGGGCUCCCGGGACACUAAGUGUCAGCUGCCUGUGCUGCAGGGCCCUCAGGCCAGGACACUGCUGUCCUUUGGAGUGCCAGUCAUUGUGCAGGCGGAAGUGUGACUUAAAGUUAAGUCACAGAGAGUCCUGAGUGUGAGGCUGUCCCAGCAGGAGAAACAGAGGAGCGAUAGGACAGGCAGGCACCUGCUCCCUAAGGGCACGGUCCACCUGUCCCUCCCUCCUCCAGGAGCUGGACACAACCAGGACUCAGAGGCUGGGUCAGAGUCAGAGGUGCUUCUCGCAAAAGGCCCAGGAUUCCCCAUGGAUGUUUCAUGGUCCCGGCCAGGCAGCUUAGAGAGCCGCAGGGAUGCUGCCAGUGACCGCUCACCUGGCGGCCUGAAAGCUCUGGGCGCCUGUGUGAGCUACCCAUCCUCCGAGCCUGAGUUCCUGCAGCUUCCAGAUGGGGACAGCGCGGGGAGUUCCGGUCCAUCGUGGUCAGAGGACACGGGGUUUCUCCAAGGCGCCUGCUCCACUGCAGGCCCGAAAGCUUCCACAGUGAGGACCUGAUGCCCAGCAGGGACACAGCACUCUGCCCCGCCCCACGAUGCCAGCACCCCAGAACACAGUACCCUCAGCCACCAGGAGAACCUGCCACCCAGAUGGGCCUCUCCACCAGGAGGCAUCCAGAAGAGGGGUGUGGCCCAGCACCAGGCCUGGGGGUCCCUGUGCCCCAGGAGCAGAGGGGGGUCACCCUGGAGUAGUUCCUGGAGGAGCAUGACUGGGCUCCCCCUACUCUGUGUGGCCCUGGAGCGCUCUCUCCUCACUCCCCCCUCACAUGGACCUGGACCAGAGGGGAGACCUGGGCAGCAAAGUCACAGAGAGGGAUGGGGUGGGGCUGGCAACCUGGCGGCAGAGCUGGCUGGAUGGGACAUAACCACUAGCCACAAAGUGACUGAGCUGGCGGCCCGCCCAGACCUGGGAGGCUGUUCUCUCCAUCUGUGCAGGGAGCGGCAGAAAUGCCAACAUGGAAGGUUAAGCCAUGUAGUCUCUGUGGCAGUGAGUCUAUGCUGCCGCUGGGCAGGAGGUGGUCCUAGGCCCUCUGUCAAUAAAUGGGCAAGGCUGUGCUCCAAUGACCCUUUCCUCAUGGACAUUGUCCUUUGAAUUCUAUAGAGUUGUUUUUAAUGCCAUUCUUUAAAAAAAAAAAAAUUAAAUCAUUUAAAAUGUAAAGACUUAUUAGCUCCCAGGCCAUACAAAAGUGAGUGGCACAUCCUAGCUGGCUUGGCUGAAUGGUUAAACCAUCAGCUCGUGGACUGAAGGGUCCCAAGUUGGAAUCCAGUGUAGGGCAUGUACCUCAGUU